GGGGGUGUACCGGUUUCGACGGGGAUAGUGAGGCCGGAAUAGCGAGCCGUGGCGCCUUACCACGAUAAAAAGGGCAACUUUUUCAAAAUUAACUGACAACAAUCAGUACGCUUUCGCUGCUUAAUUAGCGGCCAUCCGCCCCGGAAGGUCCACGAGCCGGGCUCGGGUGUGAUUUGAGUGGAGAACGUGCGCACGGUAAGCUUUGCCCGUGCCAUGCAUCAAUGAAGCUACUGAAUCCGGAAGGGUGUUUGUUCCCGCUCGGAUGAGGGAAUGUAAAUAACAAACUGCGCUCGGAGAAGUUCUUGUCAAGCUGUUUUCGGACGGGGGUUCGACUCCCCCCACCUCCACCA
rnacentral:tmRNA from 1 species